UGGGGAAUAUUGCACAAUGGAGGGAACUCUGAUGCAGCGACGCCGCGUGAGUGAUGAAGGAAUUCGUUUCGUAAAACUCUGUUCUAUGGGAAGAAAAGGACUGUACCAUAGGAGAAAGCUCCGGCUAAAUACGUGCCAGCAGCCGCGGUAAUACGUAUGGAGCGAGCGUUGUCCGGAAUUAUUGGGCGUAAAGGGUGCGCAGGCGGCUUUACAAGUUGGAUGUGAAAUAUUGUGGCUCAACCACAAACGUGCAUCCAAAACUGCAAAGCUUGAGUUAAGGAGGGGGAAGUGGAAUUCCGGGUGUAGGGGUGGAAGGCGGAGAUAUCAGGAGGAAUACCGGGGGCGAAGGGGACUUACUGGAAUUAAACUGACGGUCAGGCACGAAAGCGUGGGGAGCAAACGGG
rnacentral:rRNA from 1 species